rnacentral:rRNA from 1 species
CAGUAGCCACGGGAAUACGGAGGGUGCAAGCGUUACUCGGAAUUACUGGGCGUAAAGCGUGCGUAGGUGGUGGUUUAAGUCCGUUGUGAAAGCCCUGGGCUCAACCUGGGAAUUGCAGUGGAUACUGGAUCACUAGAGUGUGGUAGAGGAUAGUGGAAUUUCCGGUGUAGCAGUGAAAUGCGUAGAGAUCGGAAGGAACAUCUGUGGCGAAGGCGACUAUCUGGGCCAACACUGACACUGAGGCACGAAAGCGUGGGGAGCAAACAGGAUUAGAUACCCCUGUAGUCCCUGUCUCUUAUAC